rnacentral:lncRNA from 1 species
CACCACGUGCAAUUGGACUGUGUCAGAUCCCACGGUGGACAGCACACCACGCUACCCCUGUAUUUCACCAAUUACUUAUAUAGAAUUCCACCGUUAGGUUGUUUACCGUGUGCUCAAUGCUCGACCAUUGAUCAUCGAUCAAUGGACGGAUGAUGGUUAGCUUUCUUGAAAAGACAGGAUAGAAGGACGAACACCGAUACGGGAGCCGUUAUUCUUUUCACGAUAUUUUCUUUUCUUAACGGACCUUAAUUUUGCCCGCCCGUACGUGACCGUACCGAACUCUCUGCCGGGAGUCGGAAUCCAAAAAUCUCCGAAGUGAAGCUGGACCGGGUCC